GAAAUGCGAUAAGAAAUGUGAAUAGCAGAAUUAAGUGAAUCAUCGAAUCUUUGAACGCACCUUGCGCUCCUUGGUAUUCCUUGGAGCAUGCCUGUUUGAGUAUCAUGAAAUCUUCAAAGUAAAUCUUUUGUUAACUCAAUUGGUUUCUACUUUGGUAUUGGAGGUCUUUGCAGCUUCACACCUGCUCCUCUUUGUUCAUUAGCUGGAUCUCAGUGUUAUGCUUGGUUCCACUCGGCGUGAUAAGUUAUCUAUCGCUGAGGACACUGUAAAAGGUGGCCAAGGUAAAUGCAGAUGAACCGCUUCUAAUAGUCCAUUGACUUGGACAAUACUUUUAUGAUCUGAUCUCAAAUCAGGUAGGACUACCCGCUGAACUUAAGC
rnacentral:misc_RNA from 1 species